CGCCCGCCCCUACGCGGCCCGGGUCUGGCCAAGGGAGACCUCCCCUUACCUGGGUCCCAAACCCAGGCGGGAGCCCCAGCAGGCUAAGCAAGACCCGCUCUGCCUCUGCUUUCCCGACGCUCCUGGCUCUCCCCACCCCGAGCGUCCAGGCUCCUGGCACAGCUAAAUUGAGUACAGAACCGUCCCAGGCUGUGGGCCAGCAGCUUCGCAUGCGUUCUCUUCUUUGCUACCUUGAGAACCUAUGGACGGCGUUGAAUGAGGACUGACUACUCUGCAGCUCCUGGACCUCCUCCUGGAUCUGAAAUAUUGUAGGUGCUGAUGAAUGCUGGUCUCUGUUGAAGCUUGCUUCAUGAUUUUUUUGGCCUCCUUGCUGUUUGCCUCACCUGUGAAGUAGACCGCCAAGUUCAACUUCCUUCCCAGCCCAGGUGCCCAAGCCCUGGCCUUUCCCACAUGGCCUGUACCUUUGGACCUGUAGACCGGAGCUGGGGAGCAGGCAAGCGAAACCAGAGCAGGAACGGCCUCCUUGAAGCCUCGGUCUGUUCGUCCAUCCUUCUUACCUCCAUCCCCGACCCCACCCCCCAACCAAAGAAUCCCAGGUUAUCUUCCAGAAGCUGCAAGCAGGGUGAGGUAAUAAAACAGAUGACUGCCUGCCCCAUGUGAUGGUGGGUGAAUCAUCCCCAGGCAUUCUUCAAAGCUGAGGACAAACGUGAAAGGGAUUAAAGGAAAAACCGGCUACGCCACGUGACGGGGUGACUUGGACGUUACUCUACAGGUGACUGAGCCGCAGGAAUCCCAAGGACAGGCCAGCAGCCCGGCCUCUCCCGCCUCCUUCCUGGGGCGCUGUCUGGCUGCCCGAGAGCCGAGCUGGAGGACACAGCAGAAGUGACCCCAGGCCAAGGCUGUCUUCCUUUGCGUUCACAUCCGGGUGGCCCACAGGCGACACCUGUGCCCGGGACAGGUCGUCUUGUUUUUGAAAAAGACGCCCACUGACAUCCUCGCCCCCGUGGCCACAGCGAAGAAGAAAGACCAGUUUCCACACGUGUGUUUCAGAGGAUCUCGGAGUGUCGGGGUAACAUAUUUCACAAAGAUGGGGAGGAGGAGAAACGAAGCUUUAAAAAGGAACAGAUAUGUCAGCAGUCGUUUCCUGUUAGCUGCUGUUUUCUUCCAGAGCGUGGAGGCUGUGGAAACCUCUGCUGCGGAUUUUCUUGAUGCCAUGACUUCACCCCCCACACAUCUGAGCAACACACACGGUUAUGUUUCCGUGACUGAGCCGACGAUGUCCCCUUUCUUUAGUCGUGCGUUAGCUGAAGUUCAUACUUGAGCCCAUGCGUUGAUUUUUUGUUUGUUUGUUUGUUUUCUUCAGGGAUGGGGAAACACGGCCUAAGCCAGGGAAAAUUAGGGUAGAAGAAACCUUGGCAAGAGAAAUGGUUUCUUAUUUAUCUCUGGGUCCUUAGUGCUUAAUACAGUGCUUGAAAAUAAAUCGAAA